GUUCGUGUAGCUCAGUAGGAUAGAGCGUCGGUUUCCUAAACCGCAGGUCGGGGGUUCGAAUCCCUUCACGAACACCA
rnacentral:tRNA from 1 species